rnacentral:lncRNA from 10 species
GACAUUCCACCACAAAAGAAGUGAAAAUGGCCAGUUCCUGCCUUAACUGAUGACAUUCCACCACAAAAGAAGUGAAAAUGGCCUGUUCCUGCCUUAACUGAUGACGUUAUCUUGUGAAAUUCCUUCUCCUGGCUCAUCCUGGCUCAAAAGCUCCCCUACUGAGCACCUUGUGUCCCCCACUCCUUCCCACCAGAGAACAACCCCCCUUUGACUGUAAUUUUCCUUUACCCACCCAAAUCUUAUAAAACGGCCCCACCCCAUCUCCCUUCCCUGACUCUCCUUUCGGACUCAGCCUGCCUGCACCAAGGUGAUUAAAAAGCUUUAUUACUCACACAAAGCCUGUUUGGUGGUCUCUUCACACGGACGCGAGUGAAACAGCUGGCUUCACCUCUCAAUGAUGUCCAGAAAGGAUUUGUGCAUGACAACAAGAAUGGAUUCUGAAGACUUCUCUAAUAUUUCUGGGGGAUUUGGUCUCUACGCAUGACUUAUAUUAUCUCUGCUCUGAGGACAUUUAUAAAUAAACUCUUCAUUAUUAUGUUUUUAAAAGAAACUUCAUAGGAAAACCAAGAAGAUACCUUUCCUCUGUAGCCGUUCCAGUCUCUGACUUGGUUGACCCCCACAAAAAGCAGUCAGACUUCUGCAUGGACAUUCUUGCACAAACAUGUGAUACGAACCGUUAUGUUAUCAAAUUCAAAUCAACAUCUCAGUCUUCCCAGCAUAUGAACAGAUCUUCAGUAUCAUGAACAUCUGAUUUUGGUUUAAUAUGGAUCCUGAGAGCCCAGCUCCUAUCUGCAAAGUCAAGAUAUGGGGAGAGAGAGGGUUAACAUGUCAUGGCUGGAACCAACCCUACACUCUAUAGCUGUGAACAAUUAGGCCUGUCAAUGUUCCCUUUGCAGAAACUCCUGCUACUUUAUCGGGACUAAUAAGCAACAGAAUUUUGACUUUUUGAUAGGUGGGGUUAUAAAUCUACCAUCAAGGCUGAGAGAGGACAAGAUGAGUUUAUAUGUACAAGUAGAAUCUUUAACUCUGGACCCUACAAGAUACUCAAGCUAGGAAUGCCCUAUUUGUUCCAAGACAGGAGUGGCAUGAGAUGGAGGAACUAGAUCUGGAACAAGAAAUUAUUUUCUUUUAACAAAUUUCACAGUAGAGUAUGUAACAGCUGCACAGAGCAAGACCCCUGAAUUUCUCUGAUAGGUCAACCAUAUAAUAUUUGCUCAUGUGAAAUUCUUCCUUUCACAUGUCUCAACAAUAUUUUAUUGCUUUCACUGUAUUUUGUAAGUUGCUUUUUACACAUUUUUAAAUAUGAAAAUUGAUACUUGAACUCUUGGAAGAGAACACAGAAAAGAUUAAGAAAACUUGAAUUUUGGUGUAUCUUAUUACUAAUAAAAUUCUAUGUGUGAG